CCUACGGGAGGCAGCAGUGAGGAAUAUUGGUCAAUGGACGAGAGUCUGAACCAGCCAAGUAGCGUGAAGGAUGACUGCCCUAUGGGUUGUAAACUUCUUUUAUAAGGGAAUAAAACGAGGCACGUGUGCCUUUUUGCAUGUACUUUAUGAAUAAGGAUCGGCUAACUCCGUGCCAGCAGCCGCGGUAAUACGGAGGAUCCGAGCGUUAUCCGGAUUUCUUGGGUUUAAAGGGAGCGUAGAUGGGUUGUUAAGUCAGGUGUGAAAGUUUGCGGCUCAACCGGAAAAUUGCAGUUGAUACUGGCAGUCUUGAGUACAGUUGAGGUAGGCGGAAUUCGUGGUGUAGCGGUGAAAUGCUUAGAUAUCACGAAGAACCCCGAUUGCGAAGGCAGCUUACUAAACUGUGACUGACGUUGAUGCUCGAAAGUGUGGGUAUCAAACAGGAUUAGAUACCCGGGUAGUC
rnacentral:rRNA from 1 species